CGAACGAAGCACAGAUGUAGAAUUUCUUCGGAAAGGAAGCGCCUGUGACUGAGUGGCGGACGGGUGAGUAACGCGUGGGCAACCUGCCCCAUACCGGGGGACGACAGCUGGAAACGGCUGCUAAUACCGCAUACGUUUUCGGUGCCGCAUGGCGCCGAAAAGAAAACUCUGGUGGUAUGGGAUGGGCCCGCGUCUGAUUAGCUAGUUGGGAGGGUAACGGCCUACCAAGGCGACGAUCAGUAGCCGGCCUGAGAGGGCGACCGGCCACAUUGGGACUGAGACACGGCCCAGACUCCUGCGGGAGGCAGCAGUGGGGAAUAUUGCACAAUGGGGGAAACCCUGAUGCAGCGACGCCGCGUGAGCGAAGAAGUACCUCGGUAUGUAAAGCUCUAUCAGCAGGGAAGAAAGUGACAGUACCUGACUAAGAAGCCCCGGCUAACUACGUGCCAGCAGCCGCGGUAAUACGUAGGGGGCAAGCGUUAUCCGGAUUCACUGGGCGUAAAGGGAGCGCAGGCGGCGCGGCAAGUCUGAUGUGAAAGCCCGGGGCUCAACCCCGGGUCUGCAUUGGAAACUGUCGAGCUGGAGUGUCGGAGGGGUAAGCGGAAUUCCUAGUGUAGCGGUGAAAUGCG
rnacentral:rRNA from 1 species